CUUUUAGCCAUUUUUUUUUUGUUUUUAGCGAGGUGACGUGGCUGCAGUAGAUUAGACUACUAAACGGACGGCUAAGAUGAGUUAUCACACACGUCGAAUCUUAACUCUUGAGGAGUCAUCACGCAAGCGAAAAGACCGAGACACGUUUUAUUCUUUUCCCAAACCGUCAAUCCCAUUAACGUCCGUUAAUACUCCUAACGUUAAUAUGAC
rnacentral:lncRNA from 1 species